GGCCAGAAAAUUUUGAAAAACUUUUUGGUCCUCGAAUUUAGGCAAGUCCAUGUUCUGAAAAUUUUGGAGAGAGAGAGAGAGAGAGAGAGAGAGAGAGAGAGAGAGAGAGAGAGAGAGAGAGAGAGAGAGAGAGAGAGAGAUAGAGAGAGAGAGAGAGAGAGAGAGAGAGAGAGA